GGAUUCGUUGCCCGAAAAGGGAACCUGCACACAGGUGCUGCAUGGCUGUCGUCAGCUCGUGUCGUGAGAUGUUGGGUUAAGUCCCGCAACGAGCGCAACCCUUGCCAUUAGUUGCUACGAAAGGGCACUCUAAUGGGACUGCCGGUGACAAACCGGAGGAAGGUGGGGAUGACGUCAAGUCCUCAUGGCCCUUAUAGGUGGGGCUACACACGUCAUACAAUGGCUGGUACAGAGGGUUGCCAACCCGCGAGGGGGAGCUAAUCCCAUAAAGCCAGUCGUAGUCCGGAUCGCAGUCUGCAACUCGACUGCGUGAAGUCGGAAUCGCUAGUAAUCCCGGAUCAGAAUGUCGCGGUGAAUACGUUCCCGGGUCUUGUACACACCGCCCGUCACACCAUGGGAGCGGGUUCUGCCAGAAGUAGGGAGCGUUUGUUCAUGGAUCAGAUUUAGCGCUGGAGGCAUUC
rnacentral:rRNA from 1 species